rnacentral:rRNA from 1 species
GACGAACGCUGGCGGCGUGCUUAACACAUGCAAGUCGAACGGAAAGGCCCUGCUUGCAGGGUACUCGAGUGGCGAACGGGUGAGUAACACGUGGGUGAUCUGCCCUGCACUUCGGGAUAAGCCUGGGAAACUGGGUCUAAUACCGGAUAGGAGCCAUUUUUAGUGUGAUGGUUGGAAAGUUUUUUCGGUGUAGGAUGAGCUCGCGGCCUAUCAGCUUGUUGGUGGGGUAAUGGCCUACCAAGGCGGCGACGGGUAGCCGGCCUGAGAGGGUGGACGGCCACAUUGGGACUGAGAUACGGCCCAGACUCCUACGGGAGGCAGCAGUGGGGAAUAUUGCACAAUGGGCGCAAGCCUGAUGCAGCGACGCCGCGUGGGGGAUGACGGCCUUCGGGUUGUAAACUCCUUUCGCUAGGGACGAAGCUUUUGUGACGGUUCCUAGAUAAGAAGCACCGGCUAACUACGUG